rnacentral:rRNA from 1 species
GGACCCGCACAAGCGGUGGAGCAUGUGGUUUAAUUCGAUGCAACGCGAAGAACCUUACCAGGUCUUGACAUAUCCCACAUUUCCUUGAAAAAGGAAAGUCCAAAUGGGAAUACAGGUGGUGCAUGGCUGUCGUCAGCUCGUGUCGUGAGAUGUUGGGUUAAGUCCCGCAACGAGCGCAACCCACGUCGUUAGUUGCCAGCAUUUAGUUGGGCACUCUAGCGAGACCGCCGGUGAUAAACCGGAGGAAGGUGGGGAUGACGUCAAAUCAUCACGGCCCUUACGUCCUGGGCUACACACGUGCUACAAUGGUAGGGACAGAGAGCAGCCACUACGCGAGUAGGAGCG